CGUUGUCUCUUUCUUUAGUAUCUACUAGUAAUAUUUUUAUUUUAUUGAAACAUAUGAAUAGCGAACAAAAUUUGUGGUCAAAUGGUGAUAAUCGUGGACACAGUGACAUUUCUUUAGCUCCUACUGUGAAUUAUUGCAAGAAAAGUAGACGAUGGACCUUGGUGCCGACGUGCCGCCGUGGGUUUUGGAGCUAGCUGGGGAAGUAUCAAGUAUGUUUGUUGAUGUAAGAUUUCUCGUAUGUGAGGGUUUAGUGGAAACAGACGUGUCUUGAAUCAAGGGAGCCUAUAGAAUGUUGGUUUAGUCCGGUUAUGGGAAGUUUGUUAGAUUUGAUGACCUGAAUUACUUGUUUUUUUGUUGGACUUGUUUUACAAGUACAGUAGUUCGGAUCGAUGAGUAUU